rnacentral:rRNA from 1 species
ACGGGUGAGUAACGCGUGGGAAUCUACCCAUCUCUACGGAACAACUCCGGGAAACUGGAGCUAAUACCGUAUACGUCCUUCGGGAGAAAGAUUUAUCGGAGAUGGAUGAGCCCGCGUUGGAUUAGCUAGUUGGUGGGGUAAUGGCCUACCAAGGCGACGAUCCAUAGCUGGUCUGAGAGGAUGAUCAGCCACACUGGGACUGAGACACGGCCCAGACUCCUACGGGAGGCAGCAGUGGGGAAUAUUGGACAAUGGGCGCAAGCCUGAUCUAGCCAUGCCGCGUGAGUGAUGAAGGCCCUAGGGUUGUAAAGCUCUUUCAACGGUGAAGAUAAUGACGGUAACCGUAGAAGAAGCCCCGGCUAACUUCGUGCCAGCAGCCGCGGUAAUACGAAGGGGGCUAGCGUUGUUCGGAAUUACUGGGCGUAAAGCGCACGUAGGCGGAUACUUAAGUCAGGGGUGAAAUCCCGGGGCUCAACCCCGGAACUGCCUUUGAUACUGGGUAUCUCGAGUCCGGAAGAGGUGAGUGGAAUUCCGAGUGUAGAGGUGAAAUUCGUAGA